UACAGAGGGUGCGAGCGUUGUUCGGAAUUACUGGUCGUAAAGCGUGCGCAGGCGGUCUUGCAAGACAGAUGUGAAAUCCCCGGGCUUAACCUGGGAAUGGCAUUUGGGACUGCAAGGCUUGAGUGCGGCAGAGGAGACUGGAAUUCCUGGUGUAGCAGUGAAAUGCGUAGAUAUCAGGAGGAAUACCGAUGGCGAAGGCAGGUCUCUGGGCUGACACUGACGCUCAUGCACGAAAGCGUGGGGAGCAAACAGG
rnacentral:rRNA from 1 species